GGUAACUGCACAAACUCUUUUAUAACAGCGUCUAUUCGGGAACGAUGGGCGGAGUAGUUUCAUGCGCUGUUUGGUUUUUUAUAUAGCCGACACGGAAGACCAUCAGGGGUCACCUUCGCGCCUGCGCCGUUGCCAAUGUGCCUGAAUGUGUGUUUCCAGUGUUACACCGAAGUGUUUUACAUUUUCCUUUCCGCCCGUGUAAACUGCUGGUAAAAGCACAUUUAUAACUCGCUCCAGGAGCACGGCGCCAGCGGUCUUAACAUGAACAGUCCCAGCACUUCCCACCCAAGAAAGCUAAUCGCCUGAAAUAGAGCUGUUGAUCUCCCACAGAAGUGUUAAUGCCGAAAGCAAACCAUUUGGGUGUGACCCCCGGCAAUCAUUCCAAACUAAUGGCACUCUGAACCACUUCAUUAAUAUUAACAUGAAAGGGCGGGACACAGCAGCAGGGUCUCACCGUGGUAACAGAAGGAGGUGGAGACGGUGGAGUUCCCUCAAGAGGAAACAUUAAUCGAAUCGAGAGGAAUUGCGCGUAGUUGUCAUUGGACAGCCCAUGCUGUGUAACAAUGUCACCGGAACUGUUGGGUGACAACAGACUUGAGGGAUAGCUAAUCUCCCCUCCACCAUUCGUAGGAUCCAACGAUAAUGAAAUCGUUGAGUAUUCACAGCAAUCUAUCUCCCAGCGACUCAUCCCCAGCCCGUGAAGUUUUGAGCAUCAGAGUUUCAAAAUAUUUCUUCUUCCCUCGUUUGUAAAAUGUAAAACCAAAUUCUUGUCUGUCUUCUAUAAUGAAUUUCAAAAAACAUUACGUUUUUUGAAGACGAUGGGAGUUAACCCUGAUAGAAUAGAAUGGACAUUUUUGAGAAUAGGGAUUUAUUGUCACGUGACUACAUAAAAAAUACAGCGAAAAGUUUGUAAGUCGCCCAACCGUGCCUGUAUUAAUGACAGUAUGAUUGUGAUGAACGUUCAUAACUUGGCAGUUCAAUUAUAUUUCUCUCAGCAUAGAAGCUACCAGAUCUGUUCAAAAUUUCCAGCCUUUUCUGUUUUUACUUUAUAUUUUAAGAAUUCAUAAAAUGUUGCUUUUGA